GAUGAAGAACGCAGCGAAAUGCGAUAAGUAAUGUGAAUUGCAGAAUUCAGUGAAUCAUUGAAUCUUUGAACGCACAUUGCGCCCCCUGGUAUUCCGGGGGGCAUGCCUGUCCGAGCGUCAUUACAACCCUCAAGCUCAGCUUGGUGUUGGGCCCCGCCGCCCCGGCGGGCCCUAAAGUCAGUGGCGGUGCCGUCCGGCUCCGAGCGUAGUAAUUCUUCUCGCUCUGGAGGCCCGGUCGUGUGCUCGCCAGCAACCCCCAAUUUUUUUCAGGUUGACCUCGGAUCAGGUAGGGAUACCCGCUGAACUUAAGCAUAUCAAUAAGCGGAGGA
rnacentral:misc_RNA from 1 species